CAGGUCAGGCGGGGCUACCCGCUGAGUUUAAGCA
rnacentral:rRNA from 1 species